GGCGAACGCUGGCGGCGUGCUUAACACAUGCAAGUCGAACGGAAAGGCCCUGCUUUUGUGGGGUGCUCGAGUGGCGAACGGGUGAGUAACACGUGAGUAACCUGCCCUUGACUUUGGGAUAACUUCAGGAAACUGGGGCUAAUACCGGAUAGGAGCUCCUGCUGCAUGGUGGGGGUUGGAAAGUUUCUGCGGUUGGGGAUGGACUCGCGGCUUAUCAGCUUGUUGGUGGGGUAGUGGCUUACCAAGGCUUUGACGGGUAGCCGGCCUGAGAGGGUGACCGGCCACAUUGGGACUGAGAUACGGCCCAGACUCCUACGGGAGGCAGCAGUGGGGAAUAUUGCACAAUGGGCGGAAGCCUGAUGCAGCAACGCCGCGUGCGGGAUGACGGCCUUCGGGUUGUAAACCGCUUUCGCCUGUGACGAAGCGUGAGUGACGGUAAUGGGUAAAGAAGCACCGGCUAACUACGUG
rnacentral:rRNA from 1 species